rnacentral:rRNA from 1 species
UAGGGAAUCUUCCACAAUGGACGCAAGUCUGAUGGAGCAACGCCGCGUGAGUGAAGAAGGUUUUCGGACCGUAAAGCCCUGUUGUUGGUGAAGAAGGAUAGAGGUAGUAACUGGCCUUUAUUUGACGGUAAUCAACCAGAAAGUCACGGCUAACUACGUGCCAGCAGCCGCGGUAAUACGUAGGUGGCAAGCGUUGUCCGGAUUUAUUGGGCGUAAAGCGAGCGCAGGCGGAAGAAUAAGUCUGAUGUGAAAGCCCUCGGCUUAACCGAGGAAUUGCAUCGGAAACUGUUUUCUUGAGUGCAGAAGAGGAGAGUAGAACUCCAUGUGUAGCGGUGGAAUGCGUAGAUAUAUGGAAGAAUACCAGUGGCGAAGGCGGCUCUCUGGUCUGCAACUGACGCUGAGGCUCGAAAGCAUGGGUAGCGAACAGGAUUAGAUACCCUGGUAGUCCAUGCCGUAAACGAUGAGUGCUAAGUGUUGGGAGGCUUCCGCCUCUCAGUGCUGCAGCUAACGCAUUAAGCACUCCGCCUGGGGGAGUACGACCGCAAGG